UAAAGACACAAAUAGAGAGAGGGUGAGAGAGAGAGAGAGAUAUGGACAAAGAUGGAAGGUAUUAAAGUAUGGAGUUGACAGAUGCGAAAAGAAGGCAGCAAGAGGCGACGAAGAUGAGAUGGACGCGGGACUUGAAGCAAGCAACAAUAGCAACAACAACAACAACAGCAUCAGCAGCAGCAAUAGCAACAACAACAAAAUUAGGGACCAGAUCUGCGGUGGAGGCGGUGUCGGCGGAGGCUGGUGUGGUGGAGGCGGUGGAGAACUGGGAUUAUUCUUUCUUCUAGAUAGGAUUCUAGAUAACACUUAGGCACACAGACACAUACACACAUACAUACAUACAUACACGCACACACAGGAACAUACACACACACAUAUAUAUAUACUCACACACAUUCAUAUAUAUAUAUACACACAUUCAUAUAUAUAUAUACACACACACACACAUAUAUAUAUAUACUUACAUUUAUACACACAAACACACUUUCACAGAUACAUAUAUACACUAUAGUGUACUAUAUUAAAUAUAUACACCUACAUAUACAUAUAUAUAUAUAUAUAUAUAUAUAUAUAUACAUAAUAUAUACAUACACACACAUAUAUAUACUCACACACAUAUAUAUAUAUAUACUUACAUUUAUACGCACAAACACACACAUUCACAGAUACAUAUAUACUCUAUAGUGUACAUAUAUAACAUUUAUACACCUACAUAUACAUAUAUAUAUAUAUAUAUACACAUAAAUAUAUAUAUUAUAUAUACAUAUAUACAUACA
rnacentral:lncRNA from 1 species